ensembl:lncRNA
CCACUUCCUGCCCACGUGUUAUCACACGGUAAUAUUGCACAGCAGCGCGGUACCGCCUCGCCCCGAGUCCGAGAGGUCUGACUGCAUCGUUAGCCAGUGGCAGCGUUGCUCGUUGGAGGGAGGGCUCGCCUGGAAGUGGGGGGGCUCGAUGCUUCCCAGGCUGACGUUAGUGUCUCUGCAAGGACGCUCUGCCAGGGUGCGACGGGUCACAACCAAACGGAUUGCUCCCCAGUGGGCCGGACUCCAGUCAGAUUGUCAGCACAGUGGUUGCGGCGCAUGGGCUCCAUAGCUGUGUUGCACGGGCUUGCCGAGGAGCAGGUAGUUACUCCAUGGCAUGUGGGAUCUUCCUGGACCAGAGAUCGAACCCAUGUCCCCUGCGCUGGCAGGCGGAUUCUUAACCAGCAGACCACCAGGGAAACCCUACAUCUUUCUCAGUUUUUAAAACUGAAGUAUAGUUGCUUUACAAUGUUGUGUUAAUUCCUGCUCUACAGCAAAGUGAUUCAGUUAUACAUAUACAUCCAUUCUUUUUUUUUAUUGGCUUGUUUUCUUGUCAUUACAGUUUAUCGCAGGAUAGUGGAUAUGGUUCCCUGUGUGAUAGACUAGGACCUUGUUGUGUAUCCAUUCUCUUAUAUAAAAGCCUACAUCUGCUAACCCCAACCUCGCAUCCCUCCACCAACCCCCACUUCCUUGGCAACCACCAGUCGGAUCUCUGUGUCCAUGAUCCUAUUGCUGUCUCAUAGAUGGAUUCACUUGGAGAGACACAUUUUUAAAGACAUGGGUGUGGAUAGCAGCCUUUGGAGCAGACCCGUUUCUCCAGGCAUUAAAAGUUCCAAGAAACAAAAAGUGAGAAAAGGAAGAGAAAACAAAAAGGAAGAGGCGAGUGAGAGUCCAGCCCCAGCGGGGAGUACCGUGGAGGAGUCGCAGCCUGGGUCAUGUUGAGAGCCCCAGUGCUCCCCAAAUGACACACCCUCGGGAAACUCAGGCAGAGCCUGCAACUCCCCACCGCAAUCCCACACCAGGCUCUAAAGCUAUCUGCAGCCCCGCUAUUUAUCCGCCCGGCGAGGCACAACACUUACUUAUUAAAAACAUAUCUAUCAUGGUUAAUGACUUGAUUUUUUCCCUUUAAUACAGUACAAUGACAGGUGUAAAGGGAAGAUGAGAGUCAGAUGCUGCUGCAAUAUGCUUCCUGCUCUAAGAUGUCUUAGCGCAUCAGCCUUCCUCCA